rnacentral:lncRNA from 1 species
ACUUAUUUAUAGCUUAGUUCUAAUUAUAGUCGUGGUUUUGUGUGUGGGUGCAAUUCUGAGCUCAUGCCAAGGUGUUAUUAGGAGAAUUUAUUUGGGGGCUACAGCAGAGGGUCUCCCAGAGUGUCCUCACACUGGGUUUUGCCAUCUUCCCGUCUCUGCAGUCUGGGACAGGCUCUUCUGGAGGAAUGCUACAGGAGACAAAGAAAAGCUCUCCUACUGUCGAGAUCCCAGGUGUCCCCGUGCUGUUUGACCACCCUUGUUAUUAUCGUCACAUUUCCAGACUUUCCCAAGAGGGAAAGCUGGCCAAGGGAGAGCCAGCAGUAAGUGGUUGGGUUCAGUUCCGGUUUUAGAACUUGGGGGCGAAGAAAGGCUGAGAUCACCCAACACGAUCCUCGGCUUGACCGGCUGCGCCUGAGUUGUUCCAGACGCACGGCUGUGGCUGAGACUCUGGCUCUUCAGCCGAGGGGAUUCUGUAACCUCCCUGCUAAUCGGAUGGUCCUUUGUAUGUCUUCCUUGCAGAAAUUCAAACCAGCUUUCUUUUGUCUACAGCGCAGAGGAGAAAGAACAGCUGGUCACCUUCCCAGCAUAGAAAACCACAGUGAGGUCAUCCCCUGGUGGGCUCCCCCACCCCCAGUAGUAAAUAAUCCCACCCACUUAAGGUCUUUCAUAGCUCUUGUGCUCUGGGGGCUUAACGAUUUCCACCGUUCUUGGACUCCUCAGCCUCACGUUCAGUUUUGUUAUCCGAAUGACACCCAUGCCUUAUUCGCAUCGGCGCCGCCUGACAGCCAUGUUAGGAUUACAGGGAGAUUUGUACAGGCCUGCUGCUCUCACUGCAUAAAAGUAUCAUGGCACUUUAAACACGCUCAUUCAGAACACCACUCGUUUUCUCGAUGGUAGUCCUUGCUGUUGUGGUUGCCCGGCAGGUGAACAGCUGGUGCUCUUUCCUGAGGCAUCUAGUGCCUUCCUUUAAUCUGAAGACGUUCUUCAGCACCUGUCCUGAGUGGCAGCUACCCCACACCCCAACCUUGGGUUCUAUUUUUACCUCUCUCUGGACUUGCCUUUAUUUUGUGAGCACUUCACCAGAACCCCUGGCGAGGCGAGGCCAGAGUGCUAAGUGCCAGCUUCCCAUUAGCUGUUGGGGACUAAUUUCCAAACACCUUUGAAUGCCUCAGGGAGGGCCUCUGGAGAACUCUGGCCAAUCGUUGUCUUUCCUGCCCCUUGGUUCAUUCUUGAUACUCACCUGGAAUCACAGAUCCCUCCAGGGCCUCUCCCUCCUCCAGGGCUGUAUCUCUCUCAGUUAAGCAGGCGUAGGGUUUGAUACGAUCACCAGACAGAAGCAGUCAUCCUGACUGGAUAGAUAGCUAAUGUUUGUAUCACAUGGACUCGGGCAGGAAGGGAAGAAGGAGCAGUUGCCCUGCAUGGCUACCACUGGAUUAUACUCAGAGCAGUCAUUUUGAGAGUAGCUUUGCUUUUCGAGAUUUGUUAUUUUUUUUUUUUUACUGUGGAAGCUCCCAUGUUAAGGAGGAAGGCCCGCAGGCACAGCAAGGAUUGGUGCCGUUGUUCUGUUUUGUCUCCUUUAAGUUUGUCCUUUCUGGGAUUUUUGGCAGAAUGGUAAGCACUGACAGCCUGUAGCACUGUGCCAUAUUUUUACGUUGGAGAUCUUGGUGGUAUAUUGUGGUAUAUUUGACUGUAUAAACUCUGUAAAUAGAUGAUCAUAAGUCAUGACUGACAUUUGUAAGAUGUUUUUUUGUACCUUAGAGUUUCUACAUCAAAUAAAAUGUUCUCUUGUAAGCCU